rnacentral:rRNA from 1 species
UACGUAGGGGCGAGCGUUGUCCGGAUUUAUUGGGCGUAAAGAGCUCGUAGGCGGUUUGUCGCGUCUGCUGUGAAAACUCGGGGCUUAACUCCGGGCCUGCAGUGGGUACGGGCAGACUAGAGUGCGGUAGGGGAGACUGGAAUUCCUGGUGUAGCGGUGAAAUGCGCAGAUAUCAGGAGGAACACCGGUGGCGAAGGCGGGUCUCUGGGCCGUAACUGACGCUGAGGAGCGAAAGCGUGGGGGAGCGAACAGGA